GCCGCCGCCGCCGCCGCUCCGGGAGUCCACCCGAGAGAGUCCGGCCAGCGCCGCCCCUUCCCGCGGGUGCGGGUGCGGGUGCGGGUGCAGGUGGGCGCCCCACUGGGCAGGUCCGAGCCGACCCGCCUGAAGACGCUGUCUCAGGCCAAAGGAAGCCAGGCUGAAUUCGUGACAGGGAAGAAAGUGCCAGCGGGUGAAAUAAACUAAGUGGUUUGACCCCGCUCGAGAGGGAGGAGGCCGGCGCGGCUUGCAGAGGGGGCUUGAAAAGGCGCCGCCACACUGUGAAUUAAUUACCUGCAAACGGGGGCUUGCACACCAACUGGGGUGCAUCUGCUUUUUACACCCAGUGUUUGUACUCCUACCUGGAGCACGAUUGAUGAUAAGGGGCAAACUAGUUUUGUCAUGAAUAUUACUAAUUAAACUAGGCAAUUCUAAUACAAUUAACAAUUUAAUAAUAGCGUGUUUUUGGGGGGUUUCAAAUCUGCUUGUUGAUGCUGUUGAUAUUUGGGUUCUAUUUGGAAAAUGGAGUGCAGGCUGGAGAAGCGAACUCCAGAAGUCUACUGAUGUGGGCGCUUGUCCAUUUGGAACAGCAGCUAUUUUUAAUGAAAUGAGAAAAUGUUCUGGCUUCAAGACCCAGCUCAAGAUCUGCUGCUUUUGGAAGUGGUCCCGACCGGUGCUGAUCGCAGUGAUCUCUAGUGUUUGAAACAGCAAGGAUUUGUCUGAAUCCUUCUGUUAGCCCUUGGAAAACGCAUUAUAUACCUUCCCUCCUGUGCCCUACACAUUGCUACUCAGGGGAAAGAUUGUCCAUGUCUCCCCCAGCGUUCGUUAAAGCCAAGUCUUCGUAGUGGAGUGAUUUAGCACAGUGCUUCUCAAAGUUUAAGAGGGAUCACCUGGGGAUAUUGUUGAAGCCAAAUUUGAGCGUGUCGAGAGUUAGGCCUGAGAUUCUGCAUUUCUAGCAAACUCCCAGUUAAUGGCAUUGCUGCUAGUUUGAGGACCACACUUUCAGUAGAGAGGUGUUGAUCGCCGCUUUGGCAUUAGCCAGCCUAUUUUGAGUCCUGACUACACCACUUGCAAGCUAUAUGAUCUUAGGCAAGUUUCUCAACAUUUAAGCCUCACAUACUGUAAAAUAGGGAUGAUACUAAUUUCCACCUCAUAGGGUUGUCUUGAAGAUUAAGUGAGAAAGUCCAUAUAAGGCACUUAGUGUAGUGCCUGGCACACAUACCUAGGGUUCAGAAAAUGCUAGCUAAGUCACUGUAGAGGUCAUCCUUGCAGGGGGAAAGCUGGCACCAAGUGCAGCAUGGCUGCAGGGGGAGCAAUGUGUGAAAUGGGCACAAGGGUGAGGUAGCCUGCCCAAGAACAAGGACUGUGCCCUGUAGUGCCUAGCAUGUGCCAGAUGUAUAGGAUAAGUUUGAUGAAUAAAUAAAUGACUCUAAUGUGGAACAGAUCGUAUGUGUUCAAAAAGUUCUGCUUCUCCUUUAAAUCAUGAUAAAUUAGUUCUGAGACAUUGAAUUAAAAAAUCAUUUUGCUUUCUAUUACAGAUAAUGUCCAGCUGCUUGUCACAUGGGUAAUCUAUUUUAAUAUCUGAGACAGUACAUGGAUUGUUAAGGGUUAUCUUAUGAUUUAGCCAAGGUUAGUCUACUCCAGGUUAGAGUGCAGUUUGAUCAUCCAAACUCUUCUGUGACACAGCAUUCAGGAAAGAUCAUCUGUAUGAUACCCUAGGGAACACACCAACCAUUAGGAAGAUGACUUCAGCCACAGGAUGAAACAGAUGACGAGAGACUGGAGUCUAGAAGAUCAGCCAGAGGGCAAGUAUCGUGAUCCAGAUGAAAACCGAUGAGGACCUGGCCUAAAACAGUGAUAAUGAUGAUAGAGAGGAGAGAUCACCAAACAUGUGAUCUUCAGUAAGAGAGAGAGUGAGAGAGAGAGUGUGUGUGUGUAUGUGUGUGUGUGUGAGAGAGAGAGAGAAUGUGUGUGUAUGUGUGUGUGUGUGUGAGAGAGAGAGAGAGAGAGAGAGAGGUUAUUUCCAGGUUUGUAGCUAGCCAGUCUAAGUGGAUGGUAGAACUGUUAGUAGAGAUGAUGAAAUGGGAUAUCAAGCAUGAUACUGAGUUCACUUUCGGACAUGUCAAGUCAGAGGUCCCUAAGGGAUUCUGGAAAGAUGUCUAAUGGGUGGUUUAAAUAAAAAUCUUAAGCUCAGGAGAGCUUAAAGACACAGAUUUUGCAGUAGCUUUUAUUUCUCAAUCUGUAGCCCUUUCUACAACAGCUGAUCUUAAAAAAUAGCCCUUCCUUUAAAGACAAAUUAAUGUAACAGCUUAACAUUUAUAAUUAUUUAUAAUGAAAAUGAUUAAGAAUCAACUACUGCAUUGUAUAAUGGUAAUGGCAAUACAUCAUUACCAAACAGACAAUGUUAGAAUUUUAAGUGGACAUUUAGGCUAGUUUUGCACUCUAAUGACCUCUUUAAAAGUAUGUAAUUCUUUUCUGGUUUUCCAUGUUCACUAUUUUGUUAUUCCUCAAGGGUUCUCCAGACUGCAGUGUAUUGUAAGAUAGUCUCUCUUUCUUGCAUCACCUAAAACCUUGUGCAAAUGGGUCAUUUAUUUUCUUUCAUUGUGCUAUAGAAAUAAUGAUUUUUCUGAUCUUGCCUUUCCUUCUUUUUUUUGAGACAGAGUCUCACUCUGUCACCCAGGCUGGAGUACAGUGGCACAAUGUUGACUUACUGCAACCUCCACCUCCCGGGUUCAAAUGAUUCUUCUGCCUCAACCUCCCGAGUAGACAGGAUUACAGGCAUGCACCACCACACUCAGCUUAUUUUUCUAUUUUUAGUAGAGAUGCGGUUUCCCUAUGUUGGCCAGGCUGGUUUCGAACUCCUGACCUCAAGUGAUCCACGUGCCUCGGCCUCCCAAACUGCUGGGAUUACAGGCAUGAGCCACUGCACCUGACCCUGCCUUUCCUUCUUACGGAACCAUGAGCAUUGUAAAACCAUAGCACGAUUCCUCUUUAACUCUCCAUCCUCUCCAUAUUGUUUAUUGAACAACCUGUCAAAGAAUGUUCUUGUUGAGUUAUGACAAUGCCUUUCAAGCCAUGCCAUUUCUACAAAUUUCUUACUGUCAUAUUGUGAUGUAAUAAGAAAUAUAUAUUUGGUCUGUGCCUUGGUUCCUGGCACAGAAUUCCUCAAACCCUUUUAAUUUCCUGAGUGAUAGUGGUGUUAGGUGCAUCUUUUGUGCUGAUGUUUGGUCUUGGGCCCUGGCUCCUGACACAGAGGUCCUAAUCCCUUGGAGUUUCCUGGGAGAUAGGAACAUUUUUUGUUCUAACGAGGCAACUUUCUGUGGGCUCCUAGACGGAAGCUGGUCACCAGAAAGACCAAGCUAUGAUUAGAAGAUUGGAACUUUCAGUUCUUCCCUCAUGCUCCAGGAAGGAGAAAGGGCCUGGAGAUUGAGGUAAUAAUUGGUCAUGCCUAUAUGAUGAAGCCUCCACAAAAAUCCCUGAACUGCAUGGUUCAGAGAACUCUGGGCUGCUGAACACGUGGAGGUGCUGGGAGGAUAGCUUGCUCAGAGAGGGCAUGGCAGCUCUGCGCCCCUCCCACGUACCUUGCCCUGUGCAUCACUGCCAUCUUGCUGUCCAUCUGUAUCCUUUCUAAUAUACUUUGUAAUAAACUGGUAAAUGGAAGUAAUCUGCUUUCUUGAGUUCUAUGAACCAUUUUAGCAAAUUAAUCAAACUCAAGGAGGGGGUUGUGGGAACUUCCAAUUUAUAGAUGGUUGUUCAGAA
rnacentral:lncRNA from 10 species